CUUUACUGUAACUUGAGACUGAUUUCGGGCUUUAUUUGCGCAGCAUAGGUGGGAGACUAUGAAGCUGCCCUUGUGGGGGCAGUGGAGUCAUCAGUGAGAUACCACUCUGUCAAGGCUAGAAUUCUAACCGUCUGCCGUUAUCCGGCGACGGAACAGUAUCAGGUGGGCAGUUUGACUGGGGCGGUCGCCUCCUAAAUGGUAACGGAGGCGCGCAAAGGUUCCCUCAGGCUGGUUGGAAAUCAGCCGAAGAGUGUAAAGGCAGAAGGGAGCUUGACUGCAAGAGCAACAACUCAAGCAGGGACGAAAGUCGGCCUUAGUGAUCCGACGGCGCUGAGUGGAAGGGCCGUCGCUCAACGGAUAAAAGUUA
rnacentral:rRNA from 1 species